rnacentral:snRNA from 3 species
AUACCUUUCUUGGCUUUUUGGCUAAGAUCAUGUAUAGUAUCUGUUCUUAUCAGUUUAAUAUCCAAUACAUGUUUCUACGGAUCCAUGAGAUAUUAAGUUAAUCUUUUGUGGGGGAGAAUUUUUCUAUGUAGCUUGCUAUAUGGAUGGUUCUCAUGUGUCGGACAAGCGUUGCACUACUGCUUGGAACAGAUGCACCCCAA